AACAUUUAAUUUUCACCCUUUUUUCUCUAAUCUUCAAAAAAUUAACCUCUUUUUUUUCUAAUCUUCAAAAAAUUGGACCACACAUUUCUCCAAUUUUCAUUUUUGUUUGCCCGUUAUUCCCUUAUGAGGGGGGAUAGGACCUUUAUCGGGACUCCGGGAUCGGGUGUUUUUAAGCUCGGGAUUUCGGGAUUGACCCUUUCGGGAUCCGGGAAUUCUUUCUUCAAAUUUCGGGACCUCGGGAUUUCGUGUUUUUAAGACCGGGAUUUCGGGAUGUCGUGUUUUUAAGCCCGGGAUUUCGGGAUCAGGACCCCUCCUACCCUCCCUCCCUUAUGGCUUAUCUUCAUUUUUUAAGGGCAUUAUAUUCUUUAAUCAUUUAACCCCAUCCAAACCCUCAUAUAUAUUAUAUAGAUCAAUAACACAAGCAGUACUAGAAUGUUUGGAGACAUCAUUAAGGCCACCGUGGUCAACUUUAAAGUCUCUGUUGCAAACUUUACAAAAGGCAUGUGACAAUCCUAACGUUGAUUUAGACAACCAGCCCCUGUACUUGACAUCAUUCUCCCAUUUCUCUAAGUAUUUGCACGAAGCAACACGCUUUUUUUCUUAGGCGGUGACAGAACUAUUUUGCAAGUGAUAACUCGCCCAUCAUGAUUCCAAUUUUUAUAAAUUUAACACCCAAGCUAAAAAAAAACAACUCA
rnacentral:lncRNA from 1 species